UUGCAAUGACAGCACAGAUACUAAAACUGCAACGAUGCAGAUAGGAUCAGCAUGGCCCUCUCGCUGGGAUGCCAUGCACAUCCAAUAAACAUUCCAUAUUUUC
ensembl:snRNA U6 U6 spliceosomal RNA